rnacentral:rRNA from 1 species
AUUGAACGCUGGCGGCAUGCUUUAUACAUGCAAGUCGAACGGUAACAGGCCGCAAGGUGCUGACGAGUGGCGUACGGGUGAGUAAUGCAUCGGAACGUGCCCAGUCGUGGGGGAUAACUACUCGAAAGAGUAGCUAAUACCGCAUACGAUCUAUGGAUGAAAGCGGGGGACCGUAAGGCCUCGCGCGAUUGGAGCGGCCGAUGUCAGAUUAGGUAGUUGGUGGGGUAAAGGCUCACCAAGCCAACGAUCUGUAGCUGGUCUGAGAGGACGACCAGCCACACUGGGACUGAGACACGGCCCAGACUCCUACGGGAGGCAGCAGUGGGGAAUUUUGGACAAUGGGCGCAAGCCUGAUCCAGCAAUGCCGCGUGCAGGAAGAAGGCCUUCGGGUUGUAAACUGCUUUUGUACGGAACGAAACGGCUCUGGUUAAUACCCGGGGCUAAUGACGGUACCGUAAGAAUAAGCACCGGCUAACUACGUG